ACGUACAUAUUUGGACCGUUUGAAGAAACCUUAACCUACUCGUUUUUCUGUCCAUUCAACAUCACAAUUUAAAGGUAAACUAAAUUUCUUGGAGGACUAUUUUUCCUGUUUCCGCGUUUUAAAAUUCAAAACAAUACUAACGAAGCUAUGAAGGAAGUUUAAUUUUCAACCCAGGCUAACACCCAAACUGUGAGUGCAACAAUCUUCAAAAUUAGAUUUUCGGUUAUUUUCGAGAAAAUUAUUGAAAUGU
rnacentral:lncRNA from 1 species